AAAUGCGGAAGAGAUAAGUGCUGAAAGCAUCUAAGCACGAAACUUGCCCCGAGAUGAGUUCUCCCUGACUCCUUGAGGGUCCUGAAGGAACGUUGAAGACGACGACGUUGAUAGGCCGGGUGUGUAAGCGCAGCGAUGCGUUGAGCUAACCGGUACUAAUGAACCGUGAGGCUUAACCUU
rnacentral:rRNA from 1 species